GAGCAGCGGGGUUCCAUCCCACGUCGCCCGUACCCCCACCGUGAGACCCCGAGCCCCCGCGUCCCCACCGUGAGACCUGCGGCCCACCGGCCAGAGGCUGGCUCAGGGCGAGCCCCAGGGUCUCCAGCCGGGGGAGGGGGUCCCGAGCACCCACCUGCCCCUCCGCAACAAUGCGGUCAUGUGCUGCCCCACAGCCGGGACCUGCACCAGAAAGGUCACCGCGCCUCCAGCUGCCACCUCUGUGUGACCAGCCGUCGCCCACGCGUCGCAGGCCAGGCUCCACCAACUGGACCAGUUCCCAGAAGGGAUGAUAUGGAGGUCCUCCAGUAACCCCACCUGUCCGGCCAUAAGGAUACCACACUUUGUUUACCCCCGCAAUGGGAGUCAGGAGGAGCUGAAGUUUGGGAAGCAUGGGAGUUGAAUCUGAUGAAUGAGUGAGUCCCCGGGCAGCUCACACUCUCCUCCUUGAGCUGACCUGUCAGGGGUGGGGAGGGCGGGGGGUUUCCUCUAGCUUUUGGGUCUCAUAUCCUCCAAUCAUGUGAUGUGUGUGCCUGACCCGAGCUGGUUUUGUGAAGAGGCUAGGCAAGUUGCACUUUUUUUUUUUUUUUUGGAGUAUAAUUGCUUUCCAGAGUUGUGUUAGUUUUUGCUAAACCACGCGAUCAGCUAUAUGUGUACACCUAUCCUCUCCCUGUCAGACCUCCCUGCCAGGGCUUACUGUAUGCCAGGGACUGUUCUGUGUAUUUCACACAUAUGAACGCAAACGUCAAGUCAACGCCGUAAGUACUGUUUCUGUUCUCACUUGACACAUGAAGACGGCGAGGCACAGAGGGGCUGAGUCACUGGCCCGAAGUCAGGCAGCUGGGACGCGACAGAUACAGACAGUCAUCCAGAGGCAGCGGCUGGGCCGGCCCGAGUGAGGCUCCGGAGAAACUGACUUUCCAGUUGAGAACUGCGCCGUGCAGAAGAGAAGUCAGGGGUGGAUUUGGGAGCAGCAUUCCAAGGAGGGAACAGUCCCUGCUGUGCCAAGGCCCUGGGGCAGGGUCCAGCUUGGUGAGUCGGAGGGCAGAACGAACAUUUGAAUGAAUGAGCUCCCCUUGGUGACGUCCUCCCUGGCAGAGCCCCUGCUGAAUGGUCUGUGU
rnacentral:lncRNA from 1 species